rnacentral:rRNA from 1 species
ACGCUCGACACCUACGGGAGGUAGCAGUCGGGAAUAUUGCGCAAUGGAGGGAACUCUGACGCAGUGACGCCGCGUAUAGGAAGAAGGUUUUCGGAUUGUAAACUAUUGUCGUUAGGGAAGAGAAAGGACAGUACCUAAGGAGGAAGCUCCGGCUAACUACGUGCCAGCAGCCCGGUAAUCUGAGCGGGCUGGCAAGGC